CAACCCCAACAUGUCUAUUGCCUUCUCCUCGGAGCGUUCAAUCCAGGAUGAGAUCAACCGAGAGAGUAGUUCUGACGUCAUUACAAUCCUCCUAAGCUACCUCAUCAUGUUUGCCUAUAUCUCCCUGACCCUUGGCAAGAUCAACACCUGUGCCAGAUUCUUUGUUGACUCCAAAAUA